AACCCAUGUGAACAUACCUAACGUUGCCUCGGCAGGUCGCACCUACCUUGUAGCACCCUACCCUGUAGGGCCUACCCGGGAGGUGCGGGUAAGCCUGCCGGCGGCCCACCAAACUCUGUUUGAUAUUGAAUUCUGAACCUAUAACUAAAUAAGUUAAAACUUUCAACAACGGAUCUCUUGGUUCUGGCAUCGAUGAAGAACGCAGCGAAAUGCGAUAAGUAAUGUGAAUUGCAGAAUUCAGUGAAUCAUCGAAUCUUUGAACGCAUAUUGCGCCCAUUAGUAUUCUAGUGGGCAGGACCGUUCGAGCGUCAUUUCAACCCUUAAGCCUUCGUUGCUUAGUGUUGGGAGCCUACGGCAACGUAGCUCCUCAAAGUUAGUGGCGGAGUUGGUUCACACUCUAGACGUAGUAAUUUUUUAUCUCGCCUAUUAGUUGGACUAAUCCCCUGCCGUAAAACCCCCAAUUUAUCAAGGUUGACCUCGAAUCGGUUCAGACAAACUCGCUAAAUUGAAGCAUCUUAGUCAGCGAAGGAAAAGAAACCAACAGGGAUUGCCCUAGUAACGGCGAGUGAAGCGGCAACAGCUCAAAUUUGAAAUCUGGCCCUCGGGUCCCGAGUUGUAAUUUGUAGAGGAUGCUUUUGGCGCGG
rnacentral:rRNA from 1 species